ensembl:lncRNA
UUUUUUUUUUUGAGAUGGAGUCUCACUCUGUCGCCAGGCUGGAGUGCACUAGUGAGAUCUCGGCUCACUGCAACCUCCACCUCCCAGGUUCAAGCGAUUCUCCUGUCUCAGCCUCCCGGGUAACCGGGACUACAGGCACCCGCCACCACACUUGGCUAACUUUUUUGUAUUUUUAGUAGAGAUGGGGUUUCACCAUGUUGGUUAGGCUAGUCUUAACUCUUGACCUCAGGUGAUCCACCCGCCUCAGCCUCCCAAAGUGCUGGGAUUACAGGCGUGAGCCACCAUGCCAAGCCAACAUUUUAUUUCUCAUGGAUCAGGUGUAAAGUUGUUGCUGGGAGACUUAGAGGAUUUCUAAGUAUGGAAAGAUGAGACCUGAGAUUAAAUAUAUUUUCACUCUCCACAAACAAGUCCAGGAAGUGUUCCUGGAGAAGGUGGCAGGGGUGUAGAAAGCAGAAACUAUGUAUUCAUUCCAACUUGUCGCUAUUUAAUAAAUGUUUAAUAGUAGUAUGGGCGCUAAGCUAGUAUUACAAUAAUAUUGUGGAGCUUACUGUCUAGCAUAGGUCAGUGGAAGGCCCCGGUCUAAAUAAUAGCUCCUAUUUUUUAAGCACCCAUCUGUGCCAGUCCCUAGAGACUUACUAUUUCUGAAUCUCAGAAGAACCCUCAGAAAUAGGCAUCGGCACCCUCAUCUGACCGGUGAGGGCACUAAGGCUUUCAGACAUAACUUGCCCAAGGAAGGGGUGGAACUAGCAUGCAGCCCAAGGCCCCUGGGUCUUGUUGCCUCCAGACCUGAGCCUUUCACUUAGAAACUACAUGAGUCUCAAAGAUGGGUCAACGAAAUAGGUUUUGUCCCUACAACACAGAGCAAACAUGAUAUAUGCAAAGGCAAAUGAUUAGGGUGUGACAGGGAAUGCUGGGGAGAGGAAACAGCAGAGAAAGGCUAUGAAAUCCAGAGCAGCAGGAACUUGAGCCUCUUCUAGGAGUGGUGUAGACCUGAGAAAGGAGGGGCUCAUUUGAGGUUUCUGGAGGAGUUUCUGCCAGGUAGGAACUGAGGCGAGAUGGGGUGAUCCUGGAAGUGGCACAAACACUGAGGGGAAUCCCCCAACCUGGGCCUGCUGGAGUUCUUGGCAGAAAGGACCUACCCAGGGUCAGACUUCUUUCCAGAGCCAAACCUUGCCCAGAACUGAGACCAGACCCCUUAAGCUAUAGAGAUGGGGGUGAAAACAGAUGCUUCUCCAAUUCUUCCUUUCCUCUUUUCAGUCUGGCUGAGAAUCUGGGGGAGGAAAGUCCCUGGGGUAGAGGGGAAGUGAGAGCUGCCACAUUGGGCCUGGGCAGAGGGGCAGAGCUAGGAGACAGAGCUAAGUGUGGCUUUGCAAGUUGUCUAUAUUUGCAUGCUGAGCUCACUGCUGCUCUUUUUCUCCCCAGAAAAUAAAAUUACAUCAUGGUAGGGGGAAGGCAGGAGUGGGGCAUGUUUGGGAAAGGUGAGAGGAAUGCAAGAGGGCCUGCAGGCAUCAUCCUGGAAAGAGAAGAUCCAGGGCUCCUCAAGACCCCAUGUGGCCCGGACCCCUCACUCCCAAUGUGGAUAAGUCUGAUCAGUCAUUUACCACUGCGCCCCUGACCCUUAAGGCAAGGAAGUAAGUUUUUACUAAUAUCAAAGCCAGCAGCUAAGAGAAUCCAGCCCCCAAAGGCUUUCCAAACCCCUAAACCGAACCUACUCUGUGCCUCCCAGGGGUCCUAGGCCCCGUGGUCAUCCAAAGGUCAAAAGGGGAGGAGGGU